GGUAGGGUGGUAGCCAAUGAACCGCGUGUACACUAUGAACCAUGGUACCUACCGGUCAUGCCUAACGUUGCUAGCUCGCGCAAAAAUUAUGUCGAGACUCCCUUGCCACGUCAAGAAGUUUGGUCUAUUCGCCGUGGGUCUGUCGCGAUAUACUCACCUGUGAGCCGCGUCUUAGUCUUCUACUCAAGCAAAAACGACAAAAAAAGCAUGGGGCGAAACACGGUAGAGAGGAAAGCACGUAAAAAAGGGUAUCACACCGCGGAAGCUACACAAAGAGGUAAAGAAAAAACACUUGUCGGGAUUAAGCAUUCGAAAAUUAGCAAAAACUGCAACCUUCUCUAUCCAGUAUUGUGACAGACGAA
rnacentral:lncRNA from 1 species